CCUACGGGUGGCAGCAGUGGGGAAUAUUGGGCAAUGGGCGCAAGCCUGACCCAGCAACGCCGCGUGAAGGAAGAAGGCUUUCGGGUUGUAAACUUCUUUUGUCAGGGACGAAGCAAGUGACGGUUCCUGACGAAUAAGCCACGGCUACCUACGUGCCAGCAGCCGCGGUAAUACGUAGGUGGCAAGCGUUAUCCGGAUUUACUGGGUGUAAAGGGCGUGUAGGCGGGACUGCAAGUCCGAUGUGAAAACCACGGGCUCAACCUGUGGCCUGCAUUGGAAACUGUAAUUCUUGAGUACUGGAGAGGCAGACGGAAUUCCUAGUGUAGCGGUGAAAUGCGUAGAUAGUAGGAGGAACACCAGUGGCGAAGGCGAUCUGCUGGACAGCAACUGACGCUGAGGCGCGAAAGCGUGGGGAGCAAACAGGAUUAGAUACCCCAGUAGUC
rnacentral:rRNA from 1 species